rnacentral:lncRNA from 1 species
GCCAUAUAGUAUAUAUUGGUAAAAUUGGAAUAAGUAGAGCAGCAGAAGCCUACAUGUCCAAAAAUCCGAAUUGAGGUGCUUGACUUAUGAACUUUCCUUGAUCGUUCUUUCCUUUUAUCCUUCUAGAUCCUUCUAUGAGCCUUGUCUCCUCUCACGCGUUGCGUUUCUGAUGUGAAGAGGGCUACUAGAGUCCUCUUCAAUGUCCACAAAUCCAAGACUUGGGAACAACGGUGG